AAGGUUGACCUCGGAUCAGGUAGGGAUACCCGCUGAACUUAAGCAUAUC
rnacentral:rRNA from 2 species